GGUUACAGUCAUAUCACGUUAAAAACAUGGGUUCUCGUCUGAUCACUAAAGUUAAGCAACGUUGAACCUAGUUAGAACUUAGAUGUGUGAUCACUAGGGAAAUGUAGGAGCUGGAAGCA
rnacentral:rRNA from 1 species